UACGGGGGGAGCAAGCGUUGUUCGGAUUUACUGGGCGUAAAGGGCGCGUAGGCGGUCAGCACAAGUCGGUUGUGAAAUCUCCGGGCUUAACUCGGAAAGGUCAACUGAUACUGUGCGACUAGAGUGCAGAAGGGGCAACUGGAAUUCUCGGUGUAGCGGUGAAAUGCGUAGAUAUCAGGAGGAACACCGGUGGCGAAGGCGGGAUCCUGGGCCAGUACUGACGCUGAGGAGCGAAAGCGUGGGGAGCAAACAGG
rnacentral:rRNA from 1 species